AAUCUGGUUUAUUAUUGGCAUCAACAUUUCAGAUUUGCAAAGGGAGACGUGACAUCAAGUUUGGAAGAAAGCUGAAUUACUGGGACUAACAGAGUGAAAAGAAUAUGGACUUUCAAGAAAGAAACAGAUCUCCCGCCACAGCCAGUGAGGAAAUGAGGUCUCUUGACAACACCUGUGAGAGAGCCAUCUGAGAAGAUCCUCCAACCCUGGGGAAACCUUCAGAUGACUGCAGACCUGGCUGACAGUCUGACUGCUGCCUCACGAGAGACCCUCAGCCAGGACUACCCAGCUAAGCCACUUCUGGACUACUAGCCUCAGAAACUGUGUGAGAUAAUAAACAGUUGUUGUUUUUCACUUCUGACUUGGGGGUAAUUUAUUAAUGCAGCAAUAGAUAACUGACAUAAAAGAAACCAAAGCUAGAAAAGCUUACAUUUGCAAAAGUUGUAAUUAAUAAAACUGGGUUAGCUGGCUUUUAGGAAGUAAAGAAAAAGAUAAUUAAAACUUAUAAAACUUAAUUUCCUGCACCU
rnacentral:lncRNA from 10 species